UACGUAGGGGGCAAGCGUUAUCCGGAUUUAUUGGGUUUAAAGGGUGCGUAGGCGGACUGUCAAGUCAGCGGUAAAAUUGAGAGGCUCAACCUCUUCCCGCCGUUGAAACUGGUGGUCUUGAGUGGAUGAGAAGUACGCGGAAUGCGUGGUGUAGCGGUGAAAUGCAUAGAUAUCACGCAGAACUCCGAUUGCGAAGGCAGCGUACCGGCAUCCAACUGACGCUGAGGCACGAAAGCGUGGGGGUCAAACAGG
rnacentral:rRNA from 1 species